rnacentral:rRNA from 1 species
AACGAACGCUGGCGGCAUGCCUAACACAUGCAAGUCGAACGAGACCUUCGGGUCUAGUGGCGCACGGGUGCGUAACGCGUGGGAAUCUGCCCUUGGGUUCGGGAUAACAGUUGGAAACGACUGCUAAUACCGGAUGAUGACGUAAGUCCAAAGAUUUAUCGCCCAAGGAUGAUCCCGCGUAGGAUUAGCUAGUUGGUGAGGUAAAGGCUCACCAAGGCGACGAUCCUUAGCUGGUCUGAGAGGAUGAUCAGCCACACUGGGACUGAGACACGGCCCAGACUCCUACGGGAGGCAGCAGUGGGGAAUAUUGGACAAUGGGCGAAAGCCUGAUCCAGCAAUGCCGCGUGAGUGAUGAAGGCCUUAGGGUUGUAAAGCUCUUUUACCAGGGAUGAUAAUGACAGUACCGGGAGAAUAAGCGCCGGCUAACUCCGUG